GACGAACCGUGCGAACGUUGUUCGGAAUUACUGGGCGUAAAGGGCUCGUAGGCGGCCAACUAAGUCAGACGUGAAAUCCCCAGGCUCAACCUGGGAACUGCGUCUGAUACUGGUUGGCUUGAAUCCGGGAGAGGGAUGCAGAAUUCCAGGUGUAGCGGUGAAAUGCGUAGAUAUCUGGAGGAAUACCGGUGGCGAAGGCGGCAUCCUGGACCGGCAUUGACGCUGAGGAGCGAAAGCUAGGGGAGCAAACGGG
rnacentral:rRNA from 1 species